rnacentral:rRNA from 1 species
UACGGGGGGGCGAAGCGUUAAUCGGAAUUACUGGGCGUAAAGCGCGCGUAGGCGGCUUUGCAAGUCGAUUGUGAAAUCCCCAGGCUUAACCUGGGAACUGCAUUCGAGACUGCAUAGCUAGAGUAUGGGAGAGGGAAGUGGAAUUUCAGGUGUAGCGGUGAAAUGCGUAGAUAUCUGAAGGAACAUCAGUGGCGAAAGCGACUUCCUGGACCAAUACUGACGCUCAUGUGCGAAAGCGUGGGGAGCAAACAGG